ACAGUGUGAUGACUCACCAGCCUUACUUCCUGCUGUGGAGUGCUUUCUCCUGCUCAGCAAGGCUCAGUGCUGAAUUUCCUGUGACAUUUGCAUAAUUCUGAGUCUCUUCUGGACUGUGAAGGAGACCUUCUAGAAAGUUGCAUCUGCUGAGACUGAUUGACUGAUUAGAAUUUCAGUGCUAUGGAGAGAUUUGAAUGUUACAGGUCCAGAGGCUAAUUACCUUAUCUUCGGUUAACUUUACCUGCACACCUCAACAGCUAUUCCUUGUGUGCCUCUGUGUCAGAACCAGCAUCCUGUGACUAAUAGAUAAAAGCCUUUGGAAACUAUUAAUUUAACAGACCUACCAAGCCCAAAGAUAACAGUGUUAACAGAUAACAUCUUUGGUCUAUAAAAUAAGUUCCCUCAACCUUGCUGUAACCACCUUUCAGAUAUGCCCACCAAUGUAUUUUAAGCCUGUCCUGAUUUAUGACUUUCAACUUUCUGUAAAACUAUAAAACUUCAUGGAACUGCUUCUAGUUCAAACAUGGACUUUGAGGUAUCUUAAUCUGUGUUUCUGGUCAUUCAGAAUGGAUCCAGAAUGAACUAGCUUUUAUUCUUCUUAAGAAGGAAAAUUGUUUUUUGAGUUGACACAAUCAAAGCCAAAUUUUUAAAUAAAUUANNNNNNNNNNNNNNNNNNNNNNNNNUAUUGAUAUUAGCUCCCCCAGUUAAGCAAAAGCUAUUGACAUAGUAUGUUAACAAGUAUGCAUGUCUGUCCUCUGACUUGUGAAGGAAUUCAAAUAUGUUUUGGUGAAGUUUAGUAAUAGUGGGGGACUAUGGCUAUCAUAGUAUGGGGCCUCCUCAAUAACAAGACAGAAACUAAGAAACUUCUAUCUCUUUAAAAUAGAAUGGACCAUUUUGCCUCCAGAGGAUGUAAAUUGAACAUGUCUUUGUGUUUUCACUUAGAAUUUUAUUUCUGUUCUCACACCCCACCCUCCUUUACAUGAAUAUUAAGGUCCAAGGCUUUAGCAACAGGCAUUUGGUCCUGGGGGAAGAAAGGGUAAAGGGAAGAGUGUUGUGUAUGGCUUUUCAUAUGUUAAUGGUUGAUUCCAUGGCAACCAUUGAAAAAAAGAAGGGCUAGGGACAAAAGGGGCUGCAGGAGAGAGGAUGGGGCUCUUUCAGGGGCUAGUAAGAAUAACAGCCCAGACCCUCUCCUCUGAAAGAUAUCUGAUGGCCAGACCUCAAAGGACUUUGUCUUAAUAGUGCAGAGUCAGUAUGUAAUUAAUGCAGAGUUUUAUGAGUCCAAAUUUCACCCUCAAUGAUGUUUCCCCUUUAAAACGUGGAGAAUAAGAAUCUGAAACCAAGAGGAUGUUUCAAAUCACUGCUCCCAUUGGGACCCACAACGGAGUCUAUCCAGAGGACACACUAGACUAUCGGCUCUAAGCAUCAGACAUUUCAGUUUUGAGUUAAAAGGUCAAGGGCUUUUAUCUUUGAGUACAAGAAAGCUUUUAAAGCUGGCUGACUAAGAGCAAGCACAGUGGGAAUGGCUGUGCUCUCUCUCACAUGCAUCCUUUGAACACUGUCGUCCCUGAUGACAUGUUGAAAUGGUACAGGACACAGAAAAGAGCAGGUCACAGGACACAGAGGACACUGGUGACAUUCCAUUCCUUGGCUUCCUUGACCAAAGAAAAGAAUUCCUGGCUGCCUAUAUAUCCUCCCAGAAACAUGGUGACAUCCUCACAUCAGAUUCCCUAGUGCGCUAAAUCUUCAUGUGAACUUCAGUGGUUAUACAUAUGAAAUAGCUGUUGUAUCUUGCCAGCACAACACACUCUUUCUAGCCCUUUCUCAAGUACUGCAAAGCAUUACAUUCAGUAACAAUGCCAACUUUACCAACUUUCUAUCCAGCCUUGUUUUCUUGCAUGUGUAUUCCUCAGUCUUUGAUUGAAUUAUAUUGAAUUCCUCUCUCUCUCUCUUUUUUUGUCUCCCUUAAAUAGUUGCCAGAGACCAGCCACCAGUAGCUGCGAUACAGUGUUUUCUCUGUUUCGAUAGACACAAGGGCUUUUUAUCACAAUGGAAUGCUUAUGGAAUUGCAUGUUUCAAAAGACACUAAACAUGAAAAUACAACUUCAUUCAAAGUCAGGUUACAAUUAUGAAUAGCAAGGCUACAAUGAAGAGAGAGAGAAAGAAGUGCUGGUCUGUCUUUCUUUCAGUGGUUAUAAAAUGUAAUUCAUUUUUUUCCCUCAUAAGCCUUAUGAACCUUACUCCCGCUUUCAUGCUAUUCAAAACUCUGAUGGGGUGGAAAGCACAGAGUUAUUGUAGCUACCAGGAAUCCCAAUAUGAGGUCUGACAAUAUUGUUACCAAUAUUAUAUUAUAAAGAGACAGUUUCUUCAAAAUGAUCUUAUUUUUGAAUGCCAGUUUGCUUGAUGUUUGCUGAGUAAUAUUUGACAUCUGAUAUUUUGGCAACAACACUGAAUAAUUAAUCUAUUCAUCAAAAUUUUUAAAAGUGUUUUUAUAGACUAGGACUUGGUCAUAUUUGAUCAGUACAUGCUAUGACUGGUUGUCAUGGAAAUGUAGCCUAGUAUAUAUGGAUAAUUGUGUAAAUAAAGAAUCAUCCC
ensembl:lincRNA Gm26535 predicted gene, 26535